AUCAUUCUGACCCACUAUCGACAUCUGCCUGGUCCUGAACACUCGAUGGAUUGAUGAGCUGAUUGUGGAGCGUUCGCAUGUGUCUCAGAAGUUCCGUCUCUGUAUGUGUAUUUUGUACGUGCCUCACCCAUUCAGCAGGUGUUAUGAAGAACAUGGAACAGAGAUCACACCUGAGAGCAGCAAUGUUCUCACUCGCGGUAUCCUAAAACACAAGCUCUAUAAUUAAUAUAUCCAUUAAGAUAUUAUCGCAAUAAAAAUAAAACUUACUUCA